GAAAGACGCAAGCCAGAAAGGAACAAAGUCUUUCAAGCUGAAAAAGAAGACAAUGAUGACUCUGAAAAGGAUGAUUCUGAUAUUGAAGAAGAGUUAUCACUUCUAACCAGAAGAGUUAAACAACUUUGGAGAAAAAGGAAUAACAACUUCAAAAGACCUAGACAGAAGGGAGAUCACUCAGAAUCAACUUCCAGAAGCAAACCAAAC
rnacentral:lncRNA from 1 species